AUACAUGCAAGUCGAGCGAACGGACGAGAAGCUUGCUUCUCUGAUGUUAGCGGCGGACGGGUGAGUAACACGUGGAUAACCUACCUAUAAGACUGGGAUAACUUCGGGAAACCGGAGCUAAUACCGGAUAAUAUUUUGAACCGCAUGGUUCAAAAGUGAAAGACGGUCUUGCUGUCACUUAUAGAUGGAUCCGCGCUGCAUUAGCUAGUUGGUAAGGUAACGGCUUACCAAGGCAACGAUGCAUAGCCGACCUGAGAGGGUGAUCGGCCACACUGGAACUGAGACACGGUCCAGACUCCUACGGGAGGCAGCAGUAGGGAAUCUUCCGCAAUGGGCGAAAGCCUGACGGAGCAACGCCGCGUGAGUGAUGAAGGUCUUCGGAUCGUAAAACUCUGUUAUUAGGGAAGAACAUAUGUGUAAGUAACUGUGCACAUCUUGACGGUACCUAAUCAGAAAGCCACGGCUAACUACGUGCCAGCAGCCGCGGUAAUACGUAGGUGGCAAGCGUUAUCCGGAAUUAUUGGGCGUAAAGCGCGCGUAGGCGGUUUUUUAAGUCUGAUGUGAAAGCCCACGGCUCAACCGUGGAGGGUCAUUGGAAACUGGAAAACUUGAGUGCAGAAGAGGAAAGUGGAAUUCCAUGUGUAGCGGUGAAAUGCGCAGAGAUAUGGAGGAACACCAGUGGCGAAGGCGACUUUCUGGUCUGUAACUGACGCUGAUGUGCGAAAGCGUGGGGAUCAAACAGGAUUAGAUACCCUGGUAGUCCACGCCGUAAACGAUGAGUGCUAAGUGUUAGGGGGUUUCCGCCCCUUAGUGCUGCAGCUAACGCAUUAAGCACUCCGCCUGGGGAGUACGACCGCAAGGUUGAAACUCAAAGGAAUUGACGGGGACCCGCACAAGCGGUGGAGCAUGUGGUUUAAUUCGAAGCAACGCGAAGAACCUUACCAAAUCUUGACAUCCUUUGACAACUCUAGAGAUAGAGCUUUCCCCUUCGGGGGACAAAGUGACAGGUGGUGCAUGGUUGUCGUCAGCUCGUGUCGUGAGAUGUUGGGUUAAGUCCCGCAACGAGCGCAACCCUUAAGCUUAGUUGCCAUCAUUAAGUUGGGCACUCUAAGUUGACUGCCGGUGACAAACCGGAGGAAGGUGGGGAUGACGUCAAAUCAUCAUGCCCCUUAUGAUUUGGGCUACACACGUGCUACAAUGGACAAUACAAAGGGCAGCGAAACCGCGAGGUCAAGCAAAUCCCAUAAAGUUGUUCUCAGUUCGGAUUGUAGUCUGCAACUCGACUACAUGAAGCUGGAAUCGCUAGUAAUCGUAGAUCAGCAUGCUACGGUGAAUACGUUCCCGGGUCUUGUACACACCGCCCGUCACACCACGAGAGUUUGUAACACCCGAAGCCGGUGGAGUAACCUUUUAGGAGCUAGCCGUCGAA
rnacentral:rRNA from 1 species